CCUACGGGUGGCAGCAGUGAGGAAUAUUGGUCAAUGGGCGUAAGCCUGAACCAGCAAAGUCGCGUGAGGGAUGAAGGUUCUAUGGAUCGUAAACCUCUUUUAUAAGGGAAUAAAGUGCGGGACGUGUCCCGUAUUGGAUGUACCUUAUGAAUAAGGAUCGGCUAACUCCGUGCCAGCAGCCGCGGUAAUACGGAGGGUCCGAGCGUUAACCGGAUUUAUUGGGUUUAAAGGGUGCGUAGGCGGCCUUUUAAGUCAGCAGUGAAAGUCUGUGGCUCAACAAUAUAAUUGCCGUUGAAACUGGGAGGCUUGAGGAUGUUGGAGGCAGGCGGAAUGCGUGGUGUAGCGGUGAAAUGCUUAG
rnacentral:rRNA from 1 species